rnacentral:rRNA from 1 species
CCUACGGGAGGCAGCAGUGGGGAAUAUUGCGCAAUGAGCGAAAGCCUGACGCAGCGACGCCGCGUGAGGGAUGAAGGUCUUCGGAUCGUAAACCUCUGUCAGCAGGGAAGAACGGUCACUGUGCUAAUCAGCAGUGAAUUGACGGUACCUGCAAAGGAAGCACCGGCUAACUCCGUGCCAGCAGCCGAGGUAAUACGGAGGGUGCGAGCGUUAAUCGGAAUUACUGGGCGUAAAGCGCUCGUAGGCGGUAUGUCAAGUCAAGGGUGAAGUCCCCGCGCUCAACGUGGGAACUGCCGUUGAAACUGGGAAACUGGAGUGUGUGAGAGGGUAGUGGAAUUCCAGGUGUAGGAGUGAAAUCCGUAGAUAUCUGGAGGAACAUCAGUGGCGAAGGCGACUAUCUGGCACAUAACUGACGCUGAGGAGCGAAAGCGUGGGUAGCAAACAGGAUUAGAUACCCUUGUAGUC